GAACUGCAGGACACAGUAACAUGUAUAAGUGAACGCAUAUUGCACGUCGUGGGAACCUACCAUGACGUACCCAUACUUGAGC
rnacentral:rRNA from 1 species